GUCCCUGUUACGCAAUCGAUAACCCGUUGGUCUUCUAAUCCAAAGGUCGUAGGUUUGAAUCCUCCCAGGGAUG